rnacentral:rRNA from 1 species
UACGGAGGGGGGCUAGCGUUGUUCGGAAUUACUGGGCGUAAAGCGCACGUAGGCGGCUUUGUAAGUUAGAGGUGAAAGCCCGGGGCUCAACUCCGGAAUUGCCUUUAAGACUGCAUCGCUAGAAUUGUGGAGAGGUAAGUGGAAUUCCUGGUGUAGCGGUGAAAUGCGCAGAUAUCAGGAGGAACACCGGUGGCGAAGGCGGCGCUCUGGGCCGGAACUGACGCUGAGGAGCGAAAGCGUGGGUAGCAAACAGG